UACAGAGGGGGCAAGCGUUGUUCGGAAUUACUGGGCGUAAAGGGCGCGUAGGCGGCCUGCUAAGUCGAACGUGAAAUCCCCCGGGCUCAACCCGGGAACUGCGUCCGAUACUGGCAGGCUUGAAUCCGGGAGAGGGAUGCGGAAUUCCAGGUGUAGCGGUGAAAUGCGCAGAUAUCAGGAGGAACACCGAUGGCGAAGGCAGGUCACUGGGCCGCAACUGACGCUGAGGAGCGAAAGCAUGGGGGAGCGAACAGG
rnacentral:rRNA from 1 species